GCGCUCCUCUUCCCCCUUCCUGGUCCCACCGCACCGUGCGAGCUCCCCGUCUCGUGCGGCCGGCGUCUCCCGAGCGAGCGGAAGCUUCUAGAACCUUCGCGGCGGCACGCGCGAGAUGGUGAUGCUGCACGUGAAGUCGGCGGCGGCGGCGGCGGCGGCCACCUCCUCCUCCUCCUCGUCGGACGCGGACGAGGAAACGGAGUUCCUGUACGAGUGCGCGGCCUCCGCGGCCGUCGCCGACGUGGCAGCCGCGCUCGGCGUGCUCGCCGGCCUCCAGGCCCGCCUCCUCUCCCUCUGCCGUCGCCUCCGAGCGAGGUGCGCGGAUGCCGGUGCGGCUGCGGUGGGCGAGCUCGAGAGGGCGAUAGACGAGGCCGAGGCCGAGGCCUACGCCUCCAAGGAGCAAGUGCAGCACAACAGAUUCCUGUCCCCUUGUGCUCUAAGGGAACAUAUCAAGACCAUUGAGGAGAAAUGUGCUACUGCUCUACAAGAACCUACAGAGGCAUUGGAUCUGCAAGAAUCAUCAUCAGACAGCAAGCAUGAGAGGAUACAGCUUUGGUGGGCUGGAAAAGAGCUAGCCAUGGACCACAAGCUAUGCGACUAUAUUGGUAUUAAUGAGAAAACAAAGAUUGUCAUCAAGCUAACGCGAGCCCGUGAUGACCGCUGAUUGUGCUUCUGCCCCUUCAAUGCAAUCACAGUGUUUGUUACGUCUUGGAUAUUAUAUGGAAGCUGUCCAUAAGGAAAAUCUGUCUGGAUGGCCAGCUUGGAGUAGAGUGCUUUGAGUUCCUGCAGCAGAUCAUCCAGCUUCACACUGUGAAAACCUGCACGUGGCAUGUGGUCGGGUCGGCAGCUGAAAGGAAUUCUUGGUGCUUUGGUUGAAGAACCAGCAAAUGUUCUCCGAGGGAACCAACGCUGUUCAUGGUGUCAUCGCGAGUUCAGGAACCGGCCAAGCAGUGGUUUUGGCAUGUCUCACCAAGGAUAAACCCUGUCCCGGUUACUUUAAACUAGCUACUGUUGAGUUUUGGAGCCACCUCCCAACAAAAUUUUAUCAAAUAUUCUUAUGUUUGGCAGCUUGGAUCCAGGAAUCAAACAAGCGAUGAAGUUGGUGCCUCCUGCCUGCAAACUAGAGGCAGAUGGUUUGCUCCAUUCCGUCCAUCCAUCUGGUGCUACUGUUGCUCAAGCCUGUGGGCUGUGGCUGUGGCUUUUUUAACAGCAGCCACAACCACAAGAAUGGAUGGUGAAGGAAUCUCUGUGCGUUUGUUUUCUGACGGAACCCUCUCUGUGGCUCUUAUCUGUGCCCGUGCUCAUGAUCUGGGGGCCUCUUGUGCUUGUUGGAUUGCAUGACCCAUCCCAAUCAGAUCAGAAGACAAGCCAUGGUGGGGGGAGGAGAGCUGAGAACUGGCGAUCAUUCAGCUCAAAGGUGCUCGCCUUUUCAGUGCCCAACGCAACUCGGCUUGCAGCUGUUCCAGGCACACCCCACAACCACAAAUACAAAAAGGUGCAUCUCCAAUUCACAAGCAGUGGUAAAUCUAACAAUUGCACAUACAUUCAAAUGGUUUGCCUUCUUUCAAAAAGGAAAAGGAAAACAUUCAAAUGCCAGAAUGGCAUUCCUAAUCUAUUCCAGAUUUCUUUCAAAAAAUCUAUUCCGGAUUUGCCUAUCACUGAUGUGCUUUUGCUGAUCUGGUUGCGGACACAUCAUUUGGAUGAUCUGAUGGGACCGUAAUCUUGUCCGGCAGAGUUCCUGGAAAGCAUUAAGCAUCAUGUUGGCAAAAGCCCAAGCAUCCGCAAACGAUUUCAUGGACUGUCCAAAGCUUCGUUUCGAAGCCAAGGGAACGGGGAGAUCAUCUCAGAGGUGCGCCGUAGCGUGGAAGAAGAUGGCAUAGUUGGUAGUGUUACGUGCAGAGAGCUCUGCUUUUGUUUGGCUUGGAGACCUGGAGUGGUCUACACUCUACAGAGGUAGGUGGAGGCUCUGGAUCCCAUUCACUACAACAAUCAGACUGAUUUGUACGCAGAAGUAUGGUAUGGUCAAGCGGCGUACUUGGGGGUGGAAUCAAAUCUGCCACCAAGUCAGUGCCACCCUUGCACCAUUUACUCGCCUACUGUGCCCUACCCUACCUCCCCAAACAAAGGAGUGAGAGCACGAGCAGCAGCAGAAGCUUUGAGAGAGAUGCAAAAGAAUGGAGCAGGGAGCAGUGGAGGAGAAAAAGGAAACGAACCGCCAAGAUCCACAGCUCAAAUGAAGAAAUUCUUUGCUCCAAGAAGAUCACAAAGAAUUUGACAGGAGGGAAAAGAAUCACGGUACAUUGCGUCCUCAACAGCAAUCCACGGCACAUUGCUCAUCUUCACAAGCAAAAGAAACAAAAGAAUGUUGCUUUGAUCCAUGGCACCGAUGCCAACCCCAUCGGCAUCAGCCCCUGCACAUCUCCUGCCUCUCCUGCGCAACCUCGCCGGCGGCUACGGAGGAGGCCCUGGGAGUAUUCGUCACCGAGUAGAACAUGACGUCGCUCACGCUCCUCCGCGCCGAGACCACCAUCCCCGGCUGCAGCAGCUGGGACCGCUUGCAGUGUGCGAUGGCGCCCUGGAUGGCGCCUUCCUCCGACCCGGCGCUGCUGCUCCGCUUCAGCACCGGCGUCGCCGCCGGCGGCCGGAAGAAGAACCCGUUCGCGUUGCCGCAGGACGGCGUCGAUGAAGAAGACGAGGACGACGAGGAGCACAGCGGCGAGGUUCCCGGCGCCUUGGUCGCCACCAGCCGCACCCGCCGGAUGAUGCCGGAGAAGGACUUGCGGUGGUGGCACACCUCCUCCUGAUCCAGGACACUGCCCCUCGCGCUGACGCUGCCGAUGCCAUUGCCAUUGGCCGUGCCGUCGACGACGAUGUCGCUCGGCGUCGGCCUGGCCAGGAAGAAGGACCUAAUGUACUCCUUCGACGCCCACCGCUUCACCACCUUGAGCUUCUUGGCCCAAGACGGCCUCUUGGCAGCGCACGCCUUGCCGGCCGCGGCGGCGUCUCCCCCGUCCGCCGCCGCAUCCGACGCCGCUUCCCUCUUAUCGACCCCUUGCAGCGCCUGCACCGGCUGCUGCUCCUGGAGCAGCCUCUGCACGAGCUGCAGCCGCGGCGGCGGGUGGAGCGGCAGCAGGUUGCCCUUGUAGAACAGCUCGUCCGCCGGGGACGCGAACGCCGGCUCCCUGUGCUUGGCGCCGCCGGCUGCGGUGCUCUGGAACUCGAAGCGUGGCGAGGAGGGCGGCAUCGGCGUGGCGGCCGGGGUGAGGUCCAUGUCGAUGUAGUCGUCCUGGAUCACCAUUGUGGGCGGCCUCGCCAUUGCUGCUGGAAUGGCAGUGCCAGCUUUGGAGCUUGGUGUUUGGGAGGGAGGAGAGGUGGGAUUUGGAAUUUUGGAGGGAUGAAGCAGACAAUGAGGUGUGGUAGAUGGGUCUUCACUCUUCAGAGAGAUGGUUUAUAGGGUUUUGGGCUGCUGUGUGCUUGUGCAGUGAGUGUGACAGUUUGUGUUGUUGGGCAGGGGAAUGGAGAUAUGGAAACAAGCAAGUGCAAAUGCAGGGUGGUUAUAGUUAUACGGUGAUAUUGCAAGAGAGGAAUGUGUGGUGUGAGAGGCUCUGCUCUGUCUCUCUUGCAAGUUAUACUGAAACAGAAAUGGCUGUGAUUAUUAUAAAAAAAAAAGAAAUGGCUGUGAU